rnacentral:rRNA from 1 species
UACAGAGGGUGCAAGCGUUAAUCGGAAUUACUGGGCGUAAAGCGUGCGUAGACGGUUGCGUAAGUCAGAUGUGAAAGCCCCGGGCUCAACCUGGGAAUUGCAUUUGAGACUGCGUAGCUAGGGUGCGGAAGAGGGAAGCGGAAUUCCAGGUGUAGCGGUGAAAUGCGUAGAUAUCAGGAAGAACACCCGUGGCGAAGGCGGCUCUCUGGGACGGUACUGACGCUGAGACGCGAAAGCGUGGGGAGCGAACAGG